AUGUUGCAUGUACUAUGUUCUAGGCAUCAAUCUUCUUUAAGAAUAGUACCAGGAAAUUAUGUUUUGGCUUCACUUCUGAAUCAACAAUGAUGGUCGCCAUCUGCAGAGGAUGAGGGAGAAGGAACAGUUUAGCAUGAGUAUCAGCAUUUCUGAGAGUUCAGUUUCUUUGAAAACCACAGAAGGGAAAAUGCAGUGGAGAACUUGUGAACAACUGGGUCAGGAAAAACUGCGGCUGCUUUUCAGGGCUCUGAUCUAGGAACCCCAGAUGCAAAGACAUGCUGGCGUCCUCUUGCUCAGCCAUUCACCAGGAAACAGGUGAGCCAGCUCACUUCAUCAACCUCCGUGUGCAAUGUAGCUCAACAAAUAACUGAUUGACAAUCCUUUAUAAAUAUUAACAUGGUGCAAAAGUAAUGGCAAAAACCACAAUUACUUUUGUAUUUGUGUACUAAUACUAUUGGCUGUGUUGUCACAUGUGUGCAUUUGGAUUUACUGAGGCACUGUUUCAGAGGGUAUUAUCUGGACUUGUUAUACAUUUUGACUCACUAAGAGUAAUAUUCCUAAUGUACUUGUUUUUUUUUUUUUUGGCAUAGAAACACUAUGUUGAGUCUUAUUUUAAUGUUUCAAGGUUUCAAAAUUUUUCAGUUUGCUAAGCAGGUAUGUGUAUAGAACUUCUCCUAGGGGGAAGAGGAAGACACGAUUGAAUGAGUUGAAGACAAGAGUUGAGCUAUUACGUGUGUCGUGCCUUUGCAAUAUGGAUAGAAUCUAUUACUUUUUUUUUUUUUUUAAACAAAACCCCAAA
rnacentral:lncRNA from 1 species